CCGCACUAGGCGGGGAGCCAGCGGUGCCCUGUACCCUCAAUCCGCUAUAGAGGGGCUGAGUUCCCGACCGAGGCCUUAGCGCGUGGACCGGGCAGUUGCCCUGGAUCGGCAGGUUGGGCCCUGCGCGGCAAGCGUCUCCGAACCGUGUCAGGUCCGGAAGGAAGCAGCACUAAGGAGAACAGCUUGGGUGCCGUGGGUUUCCUGACAUUGCUCCCAGGGAAAAACGCCGGCUCGGGUGCGGGUCGACGAAGGGUGUGCGG
rnacentral:SRP_RNA from 1 species